rnacentral:tRNA from 1 species
GGGCCAGUAGCUCAGCGGCAGAGCAGCCCCCUCAUAAGGGGUUGGUCGUAGGUUCGAAUCCUACCUGGCCCA